CUCAAGAGUACGGUGUUUUGAUGCGAAGAUGCUCAGACAUCGGAAAGAGGUUGUGCUAGAUGUUAGGAGGGCAAGCACAUUAAGAAAGAUUAAGAGUAAGAGCAUGUCCACUAGGAUAGGAUGUCGAGUCCUGUCUUGCUUGAUGAUGUGUAAUGCCAUGUGUGAUGCAUGUGCAUUUAUGUUGUAUUAUGAAUGUUGUUAGUCCCUUAGCUGCG
rnacentral:lncRNA from 1 species